rnacentral:tRNA from 1 species
GGUGGAUGUAGCCAAGUGGAUCAAGGCAGU